UUUGACAUCUGUCAGGAUGGGACGUCUAUCUACCAAUUUCUUUUUGCUGUUUUGUCUCUUCAAAGACCGUCUAUAAUGCUUCAUCUUUCGUUCAUCUCUGGCGGGGUGUGAGAACUUCUCAACCAGUCAACCAGCACUUCUCCAACAUGGAUGCUUAGUUUCAUCUCUGAGUUGUGACAUGGAGGCUGGGAGAACUGCCUACCAGUCAACCAGCAUCUCUCCAACAUGGAUGCUUAGUUUCAUCUCUGAGUUGUGACAUGGAGGCUGGGAGAACUGCCUACCAGUCAACCAGCACCUCUCCAAAAUGGAUGCUUAGUUUCAUCUCUGAGUUGUGACAUGGAGACUGGGAGAACUGCCUACCAGUCAACCAGCACCUCUCCAACAUGGAUGCUUAGGUCCAUCUCUGAAGUGUGACAUUGAGGCUGGAAAAACUGCCUACCAGUCAACCAGCAUUUCUCCAACAUGUAUGCUUAGUUUUAUCUCUGAGUUGUGACAUGGGGACUGUGAGAACUGCCUACCAGUCAACCAGCACCUCUCCAACAUGGAUGCUUAGCUUCACAGAAACUCAGACCCAUGUGUAGCUACAUGAACAAUAAAGAGUGCAGAUCUUAUGUGGAUUUUGGGAAUCCAAAUACAGCAUGGAUUUCCAACUCGACAAGCGACAAAACUACCCAGAUUGGGAGAAUAAUGUGAAAGGGACAUCUGACUCCUAUGUGGACAGCAAUUUCUGAUUUCUACAUGGACAUCAACAUUUGAUUCCUACGGCGGACAUCAACAUGUGAUUCCUACAUGGACAGCAACAUCAAAUUCCUCAGUAUGGACAGUUAUAUUUGGUUCAGACAUGGACGGCAACGUUUGCUUCUUACAUAGACAGCAACAUCUGAUUCUUAAAUGGACAAUAACAUCUGAUUUCUACAUGGACAGCAACAUUUGAUUCCGACAGGGGCAGCAAUGUUUUUUUCCUAAAUGGACAGCAACAUCUCAUUGAAUUAUGGAAAGUACCAUCUGAUAUGUGAAGAUAAUGGUUACGUCAAGAACGAUCAUCACAGACUUCCGUCAUUCAGGAUUUUUGUUAAAAGCAGACAGUACACAGUUGAAGGACACGCUAAAAAGUUUCUUUUAUCAUGUUUAUUAAAUCCUUAAAAAGUCCCAACAUUAAAUUAUUCAGUGUUUAGUUAUCCAUUUCAAACUUGCAUCAUCGUAGUGACACUGUGAAAUUAUGUGGUUUAAAACUUAAGAAAUUGUACGGUUAUUCAAGAUCCAUGUCACCAGUUUAGGCAUCUACAUCAAAAGGUUUAAAUUAAGUGGUAUGCGCAAAUACUUCUAAAUACUUGGGGCCUACUGAUGUAACUGCCAAAAUUAUUUAAAGUUAAGUUUAAUACUGAUCUUUGAAGUAACUGAUGUUGUUUUUUUUGUUUUAAAGAUUCUUAAUAAAAAAAAAAGGUAACAUUUAAGAAUUAUAAUUUUUAGUUUCAGUGUAGGUUAUUAGCCUAAUAAAUAAAAAUGAUACAUUAUUAAUCUAAACCCGUUUUUGUCUGAUUGUCAUUAUUUUGUAGUCAAGCCUGUAUUUAUUUGUUUAAAAAGAUUUAUUUGACUCCAUAAAACGAAACAA